rnacentral:siRNA from 1 species
UUAUCAGAGAAUCAAGUGCUUC